GCAUCUCCAGUUACCAAUCCCAGCGACGCCGACGCCCAUCAUGUGCUCGCCAUAGGUCACCGUUGGUCUCCCAUCUUCCCUAGCGGCUAGCGCCGGCCCCCAUUGGGAGCCACGCGUAGAGGCCAUGAACAAGGCGGGCCGGCGACAUAAAUCAGGCCGCGGCGGCGUGGUGUUCCCGUCGUGACAUGUGCUUCUCCCGGCGGCCGAGCGGCUCCUCGACGUCCAUGAGGUCCCCCACCUUGGCCUCCUCCACCAGUGUACAUCAGGUUUCGUCGGCGAUGCGAAUACUGCGGCCGAGCCUAGCUGGGCCUGCAGCGCAAGCACCCGCGCGACUGGCAUCGUCAACGCGGCUUCCAACUCGGCGAAGAGGGGCGCACGGCGCGAGAUACCGUGUUGUUCUUCUUGUCAGGAGACGUCAAUGCGGUGGCCUUGCUGAUCUGAGCCUGGAUGUUGAGCAACCGCACGGCCAUGGUCGACGCGGUACCGGUCAUGUCGAGGGACGGCAAUAGCGUGCGCACCGCAGUGCGGCCGCUGUCCGCCGAGGAGCUCUACGGGGGACGGUCUGCGAUGUCGCCGCGGUCGACAUCGGACCCCAUGGACACAGCGGCCAGAAGACUGCACGCACAGAGCUCAAGCUGUUGGCACGGUGGCGGCACCGGCGCUUGCGUCGGAGCAGCUUCGGCUUCGGCGGCUGCCACAGCUGCUGCGCCCUCGGCUAGCCCCUGAAGAGCGAGAGCCCGCCGCUGCACUGGUUGCACUCCCUCUGCAUGGUCCACGCGCCGAGUUUUCGACCUCGACCACGCCCAACCGUCCGGUGGCAGCCAUGGACCGCGACCUCCCCGAUCAUGCCCCACCAUCUCACAUUCCCUCCUCGCCUCUAGAGCUCCGCCGUUGCUUCCGUCUCGGCCGUCAGCCGUUGGCAUCACCGCCAUCGUCUUCACCUUGGUGCAGCCAUCUCCUUCUUGACUUGAACAUACACUGAAUAUUUCAGGCUUGCAUUCAGUAUUUGUUAUGUUGAUCACCUUGCUCUGCUUUUCCUUUGAGAAACACCAAUGCGGCUUAUAUGCCUCAGCACACUAUAUACCCAAGUUAUGACAUUAUCCAAGCAACGCACUCUGAAGAAAACCCGAUCCUUUUCUGAUUUCAGUGAUCCAGUGAUGGACUCAAAAUUCUGAUACGUACCAACUACUAUUUCUUUUCUUUUUCUUGAAGAGGACUAACUACUAUUUCUCUGUGUUGGUGGCAACUUUUAAACAGUGUCUUCACACAUUAGCGAUUUUUACUUGUAAGCACAUGCCAAUUCAGUUUGCAGAAUGAAGUCUUAUAUGACAUUGUGAUUUGCUUACACUCAACACAGCUAUAGCAAAAUGACAUACGGAUUGUAAGUGAUUAGUCAGAAUCAGUGACAUCUGGUUAGUAACCUGAUAUAA